UCACCAAAUUACGACACCUUCCACGAGCAAGGCAGAAUAUCGAGUAUCCGACACGACCAUCCAAGAGCUAAAUCUGGGUUUCAAGUCGGACUGCUUCUUUUAGCCCUGAAGAAUGGUUCUCACUAACUUCACAGGCACCGGCGUUGGAUUCGGUUUUGGCGUGGGCUGUGGUUUUGGAGUUGGAUGGGGAUUCGGAGGUU